CGCAGGAGGGAGCAAGUGUGUCUUUUUUUUAUGAAUUUCUCCAGUUGUUCUUCCUCCAAAGUGAUUUGACUGUGUCCAAAGAAGGUGCAAGAUCAAUGUAUAGAAAGGAGAAAGGUGUAUACCUCUUGGCCGCCAACACCAUGCUGUGAUUACCACGGCAUCAUGGACACAGGAAAGGAUGUCGGCAGCCCGUAGGUAUUCGAGGCUUUGGCCACACGCGGGUG